UACGGAGGGGGCUAGCGAUGUUCGGAAUUACUGGGCGUAAAGCGGACGUAGGCGGCACAGUAAGUUGGGGGUGAAAGCACGGAGCUCAACCUCGGAACUGCCUUCAAGACUGCAGAGCUCGAGGAUGCGAGAGGUGAGUGGAAUUCCGAGUGUAGAGGUGAAAUUCGUAGAUAUUCGGAAGAACACCAGUGGCGAAGGCGGCUCACUGGCGCAUUUCUGACGCUGAGGUGCGAAAGCGUGGGGAGCAAACAGG
rnacentral:rRNA from 1 species